rnacentral:tRNA from 1 species
GGUGAGGUGGCCGAGAGGCCGAAGGCGCUCCCCUGCUAAGGGGAGUAUGUGGUUUAUAGCCGCAUCGAGGGUUCGAAUCCCUCCCUCACCGCCA